rnacentral:rRNA from 1 species
CGCGGCCUAUCAGCUUGUUGGUGGGGUAACGGCCUACCAAGGCAUCGACGGGUAGCUGGUCUGAGAGGACGAUCAGCCACACUGGGACUGAGACACGGCCCAGACUCCUACGGGAGGCAGCAGUAGGGAAUCUAGCGCAAUGGGGGAAACCCUGACGCAGCAACGCCGCGUGUGGGAUGACGGCUUUCGGGUUGUAAACCACUUUCAGUGAUGACGAAAAUGACGGUAAUCACAGAAGAAGGUCCGGCCAACUACGUGCCAGCAGCCGCGGUAACACGUAGGGACCGAGCGUUGUCCGGAUUUAUUGGGCGUAAAGAGCUCGUAGGCGGUUCUGUAAGUCGGAUGUGAAAACUCAGGGCUCAACCCUGAGACGCCAUCUGAUACUGCAGUGACUAGAGUCCGGUAGGGGAAGAUGGGAUUCCUGGUGUAGCGGUGGAAUGCGCAGAUAUCAGGAGGAACACCAAUGGCGAAGGCAGUCUUCUGGGCCGGUACUGACGCUGAGGAGCGAAAGCAUGGGGAGCAAACAGGAUUAGAUACCCUGGUAGUCCAUGCCGUAAACGUUGGGCACUAGGUGUGGGGUCUUCUAACGGAUUCCGUGCCGUAGCUAACGCAUUAAGUGCCCCGCCUGGGGAGUACGG